UACAGGGGGGGGCAAGCGUUGUUCGGAAUUACUGGGCGUAAAGGGUCAGUAGGCGGCCAACUAAGUCCGACGUGAAAUCCCCAGGCUUAACCUGGGAACUGCGUCGGAUACUGGAUGGCUUGAAUUCGGGAGAGGGAUGCAGAAUUCCAGGUGUAGCGGUGAAAUGCGUAGAUAUCUGGAGGAAUACCGGUGGCGAAGGCGGCAUCCUGGACCGACAUUGACGCUGAACGACGAAAGCUAGGGGAGCAAACGGG
rnacentral:rRNA from 1 species